rnacentral:rRNA from 1 species
AUUGAACGCUGGCGGAAUGCUUUACACAUGCAAGUCGAGCGGCAGCACGGGGGCAACCCUGGUGGCGAGCGGCGAACGGGUGAGUAAUACAUCGGAACACGCCCAGUCGUGGGGGAUAACACUUCGAAAGAAGUGCUAAUACCGCAUACGUCCUGAGGGAGAAAGCGGGGGAUCUUCGGACCUCGCGCGAUUGGAGUGGCCGAUGUCAGAUUAGCUAGUUGGUGGGGUAAAGGCCUACCAAGGCAACGAUCUGUAGCUGGUCUGAGAGGAUGGACAGCCACACUGGGGCUGAGACACGGGCCAGACUCCUACGGGAGGCAGCAGUGGGGAAUUUUGGACAAUGGGGGCAACCCUGAUCCAGCCAUUCCGCGUGAGUGAAGAAGGCCUUCGGGUUGUAAAGCUCUUUCGGCAGGAACGAAACGGCGAGCUCUAACAUAGCUUGCUAAUGACGGUACCUGAAGAAGAAGCACCGGCUAACUACGUGCCAGCAGCCGCGGUAAAAC